rnacentral:rRNA from 1 species
UGACGGAGCACGCCGCGUGAGGGAUGAAGGCCUCUGGGCUGUAAACCUCUUUUAUCAAGGAAGAAGAUCUGACGGUACUUGAUGAAUAAACCACGGCUAAUUCCGUGCCAACAGCCGCGGUAAUACGGGAGUGGCAAGCGUUAUCCGGAAUUAUUGGGCGUAAAGCGUCCGCAGGCGGCCCUUCAAGUCUGCUGUUAAAAAGUGGAGCUUAACUCCAUCAUGGCAGUGGAAUCUGUUGGGCUUGAUUGUGGUAGGGGCAUAGGGAAUUCCCGGUGUAGCGGUGAAAUGCGUAGAUAUCGGGAAAAACACCAGUGGCAAAUGCGCUCUGCUGGGCCAUCACUGACGCUCAUGGACGAAAGCCAGGGGAGCGAAAGGGAUUAGAUACCCCUGUAGUCCUGGCCGUAAACGAUGAACACUACGUGUCGGGGGAAUCGACCCCCUCGGUGUCGUAGCCAACGCGUUAAGUGUUCCGCCUGGGGAGUACGCACGCAAGUGUGAAACUCAAAGGAAAUUGACGG